AAAAAAUAACAAUUUGUAAAACACUAUAGCUGCAUAAAUGUCGAAUUUUCAACUAAAAUUAAACCAUAGGUACACAGAUAUUUUCUAGUUUAUUAUGUAGCUAAGUUUCAACACUGCUCACUUCUCGUACACGAGACGUUUGGCUCUUGGUCUUAUCUGACCUUCUAAUGAGCUUUGCAAACGUAAAGCGUAAUAAUAUGCAUUGCCAAAUCCACGUGUAAUGGUCCCUGCGAGAUCGAAAGUUUUCCGUUGUAUUUUAUUAAUUUGCGUCACAACGCAUAAUCGUCACGCUUAUUCGACAAAUCGAAACCGAUUUGAUUUUAUAUUUCGCGCAGUCAUGAAUAAAACUGAUCAGCAAUUUUCAACCACACGUGAUAGGAUUUAUCUGUUUAUACCAAUAUAAGUAUGUAGUAGGAUGGUACAAAAAAGUACCCUUUUUGGAAGGGGGUACAUGGGCAUUUUUGCUUAUAAAAACUGCACAUUUUUUACGUAUCAAUUACCGUAACUCCCAUAGACUGUAUGCAAGCUUUAUUCAGAUUUUUCGCAAAAUGCGUUGGUGAAUGUUGAAACAUAUUACAGAUUUUAUUUGUGCAAUAAAAUAUCCGAAAUAUGAUAUUCGCCAACAGUUGACAACACUGACCCAAAAUGUGUUUGGCGAAUGUCAAUUUUUAAAGUAAUAACUAGGAAUCAAAAUUUCUGAAAAAAAAGCUUUCCGAAACAUGGAAUAAUUGGGCAAUUUCGGAAAAUUCUCUUCAAAAAUUAAUUUUGUAUUGUUUUAUUAUUUCCUAUAAAUUGCAUGUGGGUUAUAAUUGACUAGUUUCCUGGCUUUAAAGAUAAUAUAACUCGCAAGUAGUUAGGUAAACAUUCUAUAGAGUAUAUUAUAUAAUAACAUAUUGAUAUUUGUACAAUAUUAUAACGCUUAUAUAAAUAUUAAAUAUACGUAUAAUAUAAUCCGUAAAUGAAAAGAAAUCGUUUUUGCCCUGUGACCUACCCGACGUGGUUUAGCAUAAAUUCCAUUAAAAUAUUCAAUUUUUAUAUUUUAUAUUUUCCAUUAAAAUUCCGAGCUCCCGAGGAUGUCAGCGUAAUAUGGAGCCAGGAAUAUUUGAAAUGUUUGAUAUUAUAAUAUCAUUUGCAAUGAUUUUUUUCCUUAUCAGACGUACCGGGCGGAGGAGCGAGGAAACUGACCCAGACCAAAAAUACAAAAUGGCGAUCCUUUCAACAGUGAUAAUCUAGGUAGAUCAUUAUCUUAGCAAAAAUAUAUAUAAUAUAUUAUAUUAAUUCCAGUUGGUUCGUUUUUACAAAGACCGAUAUUUUUUGCAUUUUCGUUGAAAUCCAUGCCGCUCGCUGAAGUCCAUAAAGACCGUAUAGUGUAUUGUCAUAAUAUUGUAUCCCUUCAUUGCCUUUUUUUUUUUUCUAAGGCCAUACAACCGGUUUAUUGAAAUCACUUUCCCAUUUUCAUACAACGAUUGUCGUUAAAUCGUGUUAUUUUUUCCAGGGUGAUUUAUUCGGUUUUACCGCGUAUAUCUUAACUUGGCAUUCUUGAGUUCGGUUAUACGUUUAUGUAUUGUCACGUUAAAAUAGAAAAUGUUCUAUUUCACAUAUAAUUCCAUCCCUAAAAAAAUAAUUUUUUUCCCCCAUUCGUGAUUAGGUCAAUUUAGAAUAAAUUAUCAAAUUUUAGCGAAAAUUUCAAGAUUAAAGAAACCGUGUAAUUUUAACAACAUUGUGUAUCUAUACAGUGUACAUUCUACAGUCUUACCUAUGUAUUUCUAUACAUAGGCAACUGAAGAACGAAUAAAACUUAAGAAAAAAAUUUUAAAAACCAAUAUUUUUUACAUCCUCCUUGCGGUUUUCUCUUAACAGUAACAUAAUCGUUAUGAAAGUUUUUUCUCUAAAACUACACAAAUAAUAUAAAAAUAAAACAAAAAAACUUUUCUUAUUAUUUUGACCAUAUUAAAACUUUUUUU